rnacentral:lncRNA from 1 species
ACUUGGGAUUUUAUGAUUUAUGGAAGAAAAAUUUCAUUAUUUUUCCCUCACAUCUGACACCAUUUAAUCGCAUUUGGCCUGCUGUGGUAGAGGAUUUGUGCCAAACAGUGACUAUUGCAAACACAGUUGGAAGUGCGGUGAAAUAUUAGUUUCUUGAAACACAUCCUUUGCUGAAGGUGGUGAGCAAACGGCACUGUAUAAAUUCCUGAUCACGCAGUCCAAACCCAUCUCCCCCAACACCAAUACAGACCACAUGCCUGGGCGUUGACUUUUGAUGACAACGCUGAGAAAUACCCAUAGACCCAUCUCUCGCCCCUUCUCCUUCCUGCUCCCCCUUUUCUCCACUGCCUGAUCGCCUUGAUGUGGGACAGAAGGCCGCAAAUUAAAUGCUGCAGACGGGGACAAGGGGACAAACCCACGGCGGACUGCAGAUAUUGGGGCUGUGCCACUGCACGGCCUCACUAGAGGGCAGCCGACAAAACCUCUGGCAACGAAGGCGCGGGAGCGGCACGGCUCCUGGUUUUGUCUGGAGCGUGGUGGGCGCACAGUUUGGCAGGGAUAUUGCUGCUUUCCUACUCUUGCUUCUUUUCCUUCACCGCCUAAAGAAAACAUCAUAAUUACAACAAAAUAUGUGUAUCCCACCAGAGGAAGUGCAGAAACCACCUAUGAAGAAACACCUGAGACACGGAUAGAAGAUUUUGAAAGAAGAGAAAGGAAUAAUCUUGAAAGCUCUGCCAUGGGAUCUCCUGUAUUGCUGAACAAAAGGCUCAGAAUCAUACUCUGCGGAAGACCAGCAAAACUGCCUAUCCUUCACCAAGAUGUAUUGUUUUGGCACUAGCUGUCAGGACAGUUGUCUUGAAUUUAGCUACUGCAUUUAAAAAGUCUGCAUAACACCACAUACAAACACAGUUUAUAAAUAGACAUAUUUGGAGAAGUGUCUUUAUUCCUCAUUUUUUCAGGGCAUAUGGACUGGUGUGAUGAUAAACUCAGCACAUGCACAUUCAGGAUCUCUGUUUAGGCCAAAUGUUUGCCUGAUUCAGCAUAGCAUGCUUUAAUAAUGUAAUUCAAUUCUUCCUCAUUUUUAAUGCUAUUUCAGCCCGUUAAUAUAAUUUGGUGAGCUAUUAUAGUUGUUACAGCUGCUAGUUUUGCCCUUAAUACUGGUUUCACUUAUGACCUCAGUCAGAACUAGAUUUAAAGUUUGAGAUGAUGUAAGUGAAUAAGGAUUAUUAGAUUUAUUCAUAUGGCAAUUUAAAUAAGAAACUGCCUGGCUUAGAAUAAAUGGUAAAUGAAAAAUGCA